UGGACUUUGUGGUCUGUUUCUGUGCUUUAUGUUUCAGAGGAGCUUGGUGAAGCUGGGUGUGGCUUUGCUGCUGAUUGGAGCUGUGCUGGUUCACACACCUGCAGCACAUUGAGUAUAAUCAGCACCUGCUCUCAUACCCAGACCUUCUCUCUGCACGAUGCCACAUUGUUGUCGCCAGCUCCAGUGUGUGACCAGACUAUACCUGUGAACCAGCUUCUCAACCACUCACCACCCAGCCUCACGUACCUCUGCCACCCCUCACAACCUCUACUGCCUGAGCCAGUCUCCAUUUGCACCACCCUGGGAGCCACCGGCCUGUGCUCAAGCUCACAGUCUCAUAAAUUGGAUAAAGGCUUAAACUGUAUUGUAAUGGUAAAGUCUUCAGUUGGUUUGUGGUUACUUGGAUUAAGCAGAUCUAUGUCAAAAUGCCCACAGAUGAACAUGACCUUUUGAUUAGACAUUGUAAACAUUUCCUCCAUUCAUUCCUUGAAAAUUACAAUAUUAGAACCCGGUGCUCUGUAUAAAUGCACCUAACAAUUACAUUUUUCUUUUUUCCAUGUAUAUUUCUACUUUUCAACAUUCUAAUACCUUUCCAAUUGCAGUCGUCUCUCUUCCACCAUGAAAUUAAAGUUUUUGUCCACAUACACUAGCCACACCUCCUCCAGUCUUGUUCUCCCUGUUUAUGUUUAUGUGAUUCUUUUCAUAACCAUCUAAUUCAAAAUCUGUACCCUUCACAGGGUUGAUCCAAGUGUCUGAUAUUGCAAGUAUGUUAAAUGGUUGUGCAAAUUGACGUAGAUAAUUCUAAAUGAUGUGGAAAUUUGCAUACAGGCUUCUACUGUUAAAAUAACAGUUUCUUAUCUGUCUUGAUGGUGUUGUUGAACUGUUCAUCUGUGUAAUGGCAGCAAUCAUCGUUGAUGUUAAAGAAAAAGUUAUUUCCUGGUCGAUAUUGUAUUCGAUGUCCUGUGAAUUGUGCUCUGUGGUUUCAAAUGUUUUCAUUUCCAACUUACCAUUAUCAGCAAUAUUCUGUGUUAUGUGUAC
rnacentral:lncRNA from 1 species